ensembl:snoRNA
UGGAUCAGUGGUGAUCACUGAUGGUAUAUGAGUUACCAUAUAUGGUGGGUAUGUGUCUGGAACUCUGAGGGUCCCA